rnacentral:lncRNA from 1 species
CUUGGAGAUUUCACCAAUAACAUUUAUGACGUAACAAUUAUAAAUUAUAUUUUAUAUGAUGUAAAAUUUUCAUAUUUAGCAAAUUUACAAUAGUCAAUUACCCGUACUGAUAUAAGCCCUGCCAGUCAUUCAAAUCUUUCAAUAUGCUUGCAAAAUCAGUUCAUCCUCAUUCUCGAGGCAGAUAAUGAUGGCAAAAAAAUAAAAAUAAAAAGUAAGCUACUCCACUCAAUAACAGCUAUUUCUUUAGCAACAUAAUGUAUUGGUUACCAAUAAAAUGAAGGGAAAAUGAAAAAUAAUAAUAAUAAAAAAAAUAAAAAAAUUAUGCAGAUUGUCAAAGUAAAGGGUGCAGCAAACAGUGAAGCCAACUGCACUUGAGUAUGGGUAAUGGACAAUGAAUCAGUAUCGUUCGCAAGUAAAUUAUCAAAUUUUAAGACCUGCAAUUAAGUCAAACAAGGAUUGGUAUUGAACAUAAUAUUCCAAAUAAGCACAAGCUAGUAUAAGAAUGCUUUAAUGUUUUCUAAGUAAUUGGGAAGAAAAGAGCGCGCAUUUUGAAGUAAUAAUACGCGUGAUAAUGGAACAGUGACAAUAGAAACAAAUCUUGUUGCUAUUUAAUUGUAGUUCCAUCUUAGCACUAGGGACUUGUAUCAUGAGCCACUGAGUUGUUUCCAUUUCCAAAGAGUCAAAACAUGUAAUGGAUUUAUUGUCGACCAUGGGUACAUUAUGGUAACAAAAGUAUUUGAGCAGCGUGGCAUAGAAGCAUACUAAAAUAUCUCAAAAUCUUAGAACAUAAUUAGAAAGUAGAAAGGCAUUUGAUUCUAGUUCCUCUUCUUACUCUAUGAACUCUUUGAUAAAUCCAAUAUAAAUUUCCUCUUUGGUAGGAAUUAAAAUUUGAUUUUUAGUAGAUUUUGAUAAAAGUUUUUGAAAUGUAUGGUUGUAAAGAUGUGGGACCCAUGAAAUAUGUGGUUAAUAUUCAUUGUUUGACUUUGACUUAGAUUAAAAUCUAAUUUAAA